rnacentral:rRNA from 1 species
UACGGAGGGUGCGAGCGUUGUCCGGAAUCACUGGGCGUAAAGGGCGCGUAGGCGGCCUCUUAAGGGUGCGGUGAAAGUCCGGGGCUCAACCCCGGAUCGGCCGUGCCGACUGAGAGGCUGGAGCACUGUAGAGGCGAGUGGAAUUCCGGGUGUAGCGGUGGAAUGCGUAGAUAUCGGGAAGAACACCAGUGGCGAAGGCGGUUGCCUGGAGCUUUGCUGACGCUGAUGCGCGAAAGCGUGGGGAGCGAUCCGG